rnacentral:lncRNA from 1 species
AUGCGCUGUGAGUCCUCCUUCUCUUCUACCUUUUCGAUGAAACCACGUUUUUUCUGCUUUGUACAGGAUGAAAAUUCUUUGAUGUUCUGUUUUUCCGUGUUAAGUUUGUCGUUUUCUUGUAUACCAAGGGACUUCAAUUUCCAAAAUCUCUCAAUAUCGUAGUCCUCUUUUGUGUGACUAGAUAAUAUAUGCAUCAUGUGUGAAUCGCGUUGUACUCUUGUACAUGUAAGUGGUCCAGAUAACAAAUAUCCUAUUUUUGAGCUCAUCGCUGUCGGUCCGUCGCCUCGAACGAUAUCAUCCUUGAUUGCAUCCCAGUAAUGGUCUGCUCCAAUGAGUAAAGAAAUAUCAAAGCUGUUAUCCUCUGAUAACGGGUGGGCUAGUUUUAGUCCUUUCAAAUAAUGUAGUUGCUGCGAAAUGUACCUGCGGUUAUUCUGAAUCGGCGCUGCUAUGGGUAGGUACAAUCAAUACCUGUAAAGGUAUUUUCUCUCCUGAGUCGCUGCUUCUAAAAACACUGUGGCUUUAUUCAUGUGACGAACAUUCUUGUCAGAAUUUCCGAAGGCGGAUAUGUUGAGGGUUUCCUUUCCGUCUGGCUUGACGUUCAACUUGUCGGCUAUUUCCUGCGUCAUAAAUGAUCGUUGUGCUCCUUCGUCGAAAAGGAUGUGAGCGUCGGCGCACUGAUUCUGUGACCAUAUUGGGGCUAUUGCUGUUUUCAAAAAGACGGUCGAAUUUUCCUGUUUAGCAGAUGUAUGCAUGAUUGGCGUGCCUGUUUUCUGUAUUACUUGUAAUAUUCUGACUCUGUGAAUUUUGAACUGAAGUUUCAUUGCAUAAACUAGUGUGGUGCUUACGUUUGACAUUUACGGCAUGUGUUUUUCGACCUACAUUCUGAUAUUUCUAUGGUUACCUAAACAAUUGAAACAUAGGUUUCUCUUCUUAACAAUCUCCAUUCUUGAUUUGCUGUCGGUGAACUUUUUACAGUUCUGCAGGGAAAUGUUGAUCAUUGCAAUAAAGUGCACAUUUUACUUUGAGAAUAGUUUAUAGAUUUUGAUUUAUU